rnacentral:rRNA from 1 species
CAGUCGCCACGGGAAUACGAAGGGGGCUAGCGUUGCUCGGAAUGACUGGGCGUAAAGGGCGCGUAGGCGGCGGCCAAAGUCAGGCGUGAAAUUCCUGGGCUCAACCUGGGGGCUGCGCUUGAUACUUGGUUGCUUGAGUGGGGAAGAGGGUCGUGGAAUUCCCAGUGUAGAGGUGAAAUUCGUAGAUAUUGGGAAGAACACCGGUGGCGAAGGCGGCGACCUGGUCCUUUACUGACGCUGAGGAGCGAAAGCGUGGGGAGCGAACGGGGUUAGAUACCCCUGUAGUCCCUGUCUCUUAUAC